rnacentral:rRNA from 1 species
UACGUAGGGGGCAAGCGUUGUCCGGAUUUAUUGGGCGUAAAGAGCGUGUAGGCGGCUAGGUAGGUCCGUUGUGAAAACUCGAGGCUCAACCUCGAGACGCCGGUGGAAACCAUCUAGCUAGAGUCCGGAAGAGGAGAGUGGAAUUCCUGGUGUAGCGGUGAAAUGCGCAGAUAUCAGGAAGAACACCCGUGGCGAAGGCGGCUCUCUGGGACGGUACUGACGCUGAUACGCGAAAGCGUGGGGAGCAAACAGG